rnacentral:rRNA from 1 species
AUUGAACGCUGGCGGCAUGCUUUACACAUGCAAGUCGAAUGGUAACAGGCCGCAAGGUGCUGACGAGUGGCGAACGGGUGAGUAAUGCAUCGGAACGUGCCCAGUCGUGGGGGAUAACGCAGCGAAAGCUGUGCUAAUACCGCAUACGAUCUAUGGAUGAAAGCGGGGGACCGUAAGGCCUCGCGCGAUUGGAGCGGCCGAUGUCAGAUUAGGUAGUUGGUGGGGUAAAGGCUCACCAAGCCAACGAUCUGUAGCUGGUCUGAGAGGACGACCAGCCACACUGGGACUGAGACACGGCCCAGACUCCUACGGGAGGCAGCAGUGGGGAAUUUUGGACAAUGGGCGCAAGCCUGAUCCAGCAAUGCCGCGUGCAGGAAGAAGGCC